GGAUAAAGAAAGUACUUUUAUAUCUUUCAGUGCUUCAGUGUUGUCAUUAUGAGAAACUGUCAUUUUUGUAUAUAAUCCUUUAGACAUACUAGGGCUGUCAGGGGCAUUCUCUAGAUAUUGCUUUUCUACAAAACAAAUUCCCUAUGUCAGCUUGAAAAAA